rnacentral:rRNA from 1 species
AACGAACGCUGGCGGCAGGCUUAACACAUGCAAGUCGAACGCCCCGCAAGGGGAGUGGCAGACGGGUGAGUAACGCGUGGGAAUCUACCCAGAUCUUCGGAACAACUGAGGGAAACUUCAGCUAAUACCGGAUACGCACUACGGGGGAAAGAUUUAUCGGUUCUGGAUGAGCCCGCGUUGGAUUAGCUAGUUGGUGGGGUAAUGGCCUACCAAGGCGACGAUCCAUAGCGGGUCUGAGAGGAUGAUCAGCCACACUGGGACUGAGACACGGCCCAGACUCCUACGGGAGGCAGCAGUGGGGAAUAUUGGACAAUGGGCGAAAGCCUGAUCCAGCCAUGCCGCGUGAGUGAUGAAGGCCUUAGGGUUGUAAAGCUCUUUCAGUAGGGAAGAUAAUGACGGUACCUACAGAAGAAGCCCCGGCUAACUUCGUGCCAGCCGCCGCAGUAAUAC